AGUGAACGCUGGCGGCGUGCUUAACACAUGCAAGUCGAACGAGAACGGAUUAUAGCUUGCUAUAAUUGUCAGCUAAGUGGCGCACGGGUGAGUAAUGUAUAGAUAACCUGCCCUCUAGAAAGGAAUAACAGUUGGAAACGACUGCUAAUGCCCUAUAUGCCUUUAAUACAUAAGUAUGCAAGGGAAACGCUUUAGUGCUAGAGGAUGGGGCUUUAUGGUAUCAGCUAGUUGGUGGGUAACGGCCUACCAAGGCUAUGACGCCUACCUGGUCUGAGAGGAUGAUCAGGCACACUGGAACUGAGACACGGUCCAGACUCCUACGGGAGGCAGCAGUGGGGAAUAUUGCACAAUGGAGGAAACUCUGAUGCAGCAACGCCGCGUGGAGGAUGACGCAUUCGGUGUGUAAAUCCUUUAUAAGGGU
rnacentral:rRNA from 1 species